rnacentral:rRNA from 1 species
GACGAACGCUUUCGGCGUGCUUAACACAUGCAAGUCGAACGGAAAGGCCCUGCUUUUGUGGGGUGCUCGAGUGGCGAACGGGUGAGUAACACGUGAGUAACCUGCCCUUGACUUUGGGAUAACUUCAGGAAACUGGGGCUAAUACCGGAUAGGAGCUCCUGCUGCAUGGUGGGGGUUGGAAAGUUUCGGCGGUUGGGGAUGGACUCGCGGCUUAUCAGCUUGUUGGUGGGGUAGUGGCUUACCAAGGCUUUGACGGGUAGCCGGCCUGAGAGGGUGACCGGCCACAUUGGGACUGAGAUACGGCCCAGACUCCUACGGGAGGCAGCAGUGGGGAAUAUUGCACAAUGGGCGGAAGCCUGAUGCAGCAACGCCGCGUGCGGGAUGACGGCCUUCGGGUUGUAAACCGCUUUCGCCUGUGACGAAGCGUGAGUGACGGUAAUGGGUAAAGAAGCACCGGCUAACUACGUGCCAGCAGCCGCGGUGAUACGUAGGGUGCGAGCGUUGUCCGGAUUUAUUGGGCGUAAAGGGCUCGUAGGUGGUUGAUCGCGUCGGAAGUGUAAUCUUGGGGCUUAACCCUGAGCGUGCUUUCGAUACGGGUUGACUUGAGGAAGGUAGGGGAGAAUGGAAUUCCUGGUGGAGCGGUGGAAUGCGCAGAUAUCAGGAGGAACACCAGUGGCGAAGGCGGUUCUCUGGGCCUUUCCUGACGCUGAGGAGCGAAAGCGUGGGGAGCGAACAGGCUUAGACACCCUGGUAGUCCACGCUGUAAACGGUGGGUACUAGGUGUGGGGUCCAUUCCACGGGUUCCGUGCCGUAGCUAACGCUUUAAGUACCCCGCCUGGGGAGUACGGCCGCAAGGCUAAAACUCAAAGGAAUUGACGGGGCCCCGCACAAGCGGCGGAGCAUGCGGAUUAAUUCGAUGCAACGCGUAGAACCUUACCUGGGUUUGACAUGGAUCGGGAGCGCUCAGAGAUGGGUGUGCCUCUUUUGGGGUCGGUUCACAGGUGGUGCAUGGCUGUCGUCAGCUCGUGUCGUGAGAUGUUGGGUUAAGUCCCGCAACGAGCGCAACCCUUGUUCACUGUUGCCAGCACGUUAUGGUGGGGACUCAGUGGAGACCGCCGGGGUCAACUCGGAGGAAGGUGGGGAUGACGUCAAGUCAUCAUGCCCCUUAUGUCCAGGGCUUCACGCAUGCUACAAUGGCUGGUACAGAGAGUGGCGAGCCUGUGAGGGUGAGCGAAUCUCGGAAAGCCGGUCUCAGUUCGGAUUGGGGUCUGCAACUCGACCUCAUGAAGUCGGAGUCGCUAGUAAUCGCAGAUCAGCAACGCUGCGGUGAAUACGUUCCCGGGGCU